AAAAGGGGGGCGAUCUACUAACCUAUAUGAAUCCCUAAUGAGAAACCCUAUUCCUAUCAAGCAGACUACUCAGACAUAUUGAUUAAAGCAAACAACAUAUUUGAUAUAGAAAGCAUAAACACAGCAAAUAAGAUAAGGGAAAGAAGAGAUCUCU
rnacentral:sRNA from 1 species